rnacentral:rRNA from 1 species
AACGAACGCUGGCGGCAUGCCUAACACAUGCAAGUCGAACGAGACCUUCGGGUCUAGUGGCGCACGGGUGCGUAACGCGUGGGAACCUGCCCUUAGGUUCGGAAUAACUCCCCGAAAGGGGUGCUAAUACCGGAUAAUGUCUUCGGACCAAAGAUUUAUCGCCUUUGGAUGGGCCCGCGUUGGAUUCGCUGGUUGGUAGGGUAAAAGCCUACCAAGGCGACGAUCCAUAGCUGGUCUGAGAGGAUGAUCAGCCACACUGGGACUGAGACACGGCCCAGACUCCGACGGGAGGCAGCAGUGGGGAAUAUUGGACAAUGGGCGAAAGCCUGAUCCAGCAAUGCCGCGUGAGUGAUGAAGGCGUUAGGGUUGUAAAGCUCUUUUACCCGGGAUGAUAAUGACAGUACCGGGAGAAUAAGCACCGGCUAACUCCGUG